rnacentral:rRNA from 1 species
AGCAGCCGCGGUAAUUCCAGCUCCAAUAGCGUAUAUUAAAGUUGUUGCAGUUAAAAAGCUCGUAGUUGAAUUUCGGGGUCAGUAGGCUAGUCGUGCCUCGGUACGUACUGGCAUUGUUGGUUUCUCCCUUCUGACGAACCAUGAUGUCAUUUAUUUGGUGUUGUGGGAAAUCAGGACUGUUAACUUUGAAAAAAUUAGAGUGUUUAAAGCAGGCUCACGCUUGAAUACAUUAGCAUGGAAUAAUGAAAUAGGACGUUUGAUUCUAUUUUGUUGGUUUCUAGGAUCGAUGUAAUGAUUAAUAGGGAUAGUUGGGGGUCAUUAGUAUUCAAUUGUCAGAGGUGAAAUUCUUGGAUUUAAUUGAAGACUAACUACUGCGAAAGCAUUUGCCAAGGAUGUUUUCAUUAAUCAAGAACGAAAGUUAGGGGAUCGAAGACGAUCAGAUACCGUCGUAGUCUUAACCAUAAACUAUGCCGACUAGGGAUCGGAUGAUGUUAAUUUUUAAUGA